AAGAAGAAGAAAAGGACUAAUUUAGGAAGAUAAGCCAAAGUAAAGAGAAAGGAUACAUGAGAAAAAUAUUGGGGAAGAGAUAAUGAACCAAUAGGAUCCAAUGGGGAAAGCCAAAAGAAACAACCCUUUGAACAGAAACAUCUAAAGUAAAAGGAGGAAAAGAAAUCAACCGAGAUAAGCUGAGUAGUGGUGAGCGAAAGGCAAAACAUCCAAAAACCGACCGAAAGAAUGGCUUUAGAGCCAACCGAAGAGGGUGAGAGUCCCGUAUAGAGGGAGAGAAAAGAAGUAGAAUGAGAGAAAACUUAUUUGAAAAAAGGGGAACCAUCCUCUAAAGGUAAAUAAGUUACUUUGAGCGAUAGAGAAAAGUACCGUGAGGGAAAAUUGAAAAGAAAGUAGUUAACUAGUGAAAAGAACCGGAAUAAGUUAGUUUAUAAGCAGUUGGAAGUAAAACUGACAACGUACCUUUGGCAUAAUGGGUCAGCAAGUUGAUAAGUGAAGCAAGUAGGAAGGAACUAGAUGAAAAUAAAAAAAGUUUCACUAAUCAGACCCGAAACCAAGUGAUCUUACCAUGAACAAGUUAAAGGACUGAACGGUAGUCUGUAGCAAUAGGCACCGAAGAUUUGUGGUAGGGAGUGAAAAGCUAAUCUCACUUGGAGAUAGCUGGUAUUCCGCGAAAACUAUUUAAGUAGAACCUUAAGGAAAAGGUGGAUUAAGUCGAGCACUGGAUAUAAAGGCGAAUAAGUUUAAUUGGGGAGCAAAUCAAUCUCUAUCAAUUAUAUCUAAUCAACUAAAGGAUCCAUCAAUAAAAGAAUUAGGAGUCAGACUGUGGGGGAUAAGCUCCACGGUCAAGAGGGUAACAGCCCAGAGAUCCGAGAAUAAGGUCCCAAAAAGCUGACUAAGUGAAAGGAAUAGAGAGAAGAAGAAGACAAGCCUAAAGUGGGCUUGGAAGCAGCCAUCUAAGAAAGAAAGCGUAAUAGCUCAAGGCUCAAUUGUAGAAAAGAUAGAAAAUGUAAGGGUCUAAGUCAGAUACCGAAAUGGAUCACCGGCUUUGCAGCCAAAGCUGGAGUGGUAGCGGAACAUUCAGAGAGAUCUGAAGAGAGAAUGCUGACAUGAGUAACAAAAAAGAAUAAUAAGAAUAAUUCUCGCCAGGAGGAGAAGGGUUGUAUAGCAAUAGAGAAUAACUAUAUAUAAAGUAACGGUAUCUAAGAGAAGAUCGAUGAAGAAAGCUUACUAAUAAAACAGUGGUCGCACCCCCGCAAGUAUGCGGGGGGCGUGAAACACUCAGGAAAAAAGAUUAGUAAAAAAUAAACCGUACCCAAAACCGACACAGGUAUCCGAAGCGGCGAAUGAGACAAUCAUCUUGAAGGAACUCGGCAAAAUGCCUCUGUAACUUAGGAAGAAAGAGGGUGAUCUAAGAUCAUGACACAACACAGUAGGGAACGACUGUUUACUUAAAACACAAGACCUUGCUAAAACCUAUACGAUUUGAUGUAUAAGGUCUGACACCUGCCCAGUGCUAGUAAGAGUGAAUAAUAUAAUUUUGACUCUCUGGUUAACGGCAGCCGUAACUAUGACGGUUCUAAGGUAGCGUAAUACCUUGACUACUAAUUAUAGUCUUGCAUGAAUGGUGUAACGAUUUCCCUAGCUGUCUCCAAGAUGAACUCAGUGAAAUUGCAAUGGAGGUGAAAAUGCCUUCUACCCUUAGCUAGACGGGAAGACCCUUUGAAGCUUUACUGGAGAUAAAUAAAGUGGGCUAGCCAGAAAGAAAGGAAGGAUAGUAUCCGAUUGACCUCUCUUAGCAAAGAGUCCACAUUUAAUAUGUUUAUUGGACAGUUUAACUGGGGCGGUAGCCUCCCAAAAGGUAACGGAGGCGUUCGAAGGUAGAGUAUUAAUUGAAUAGAAAUCAAAUAAGAAGUAUAAUGGCAAAACUCUGCUUAACAGUGAGUCAGACUAGACAAACUGAGAGGUAACUCGGACAUAGUGAUCCGAUGAUAACAGAAUGGAAUGGUCAUCGCUAAACGGAUAAAAGCUACUCAAGGGAUAACAGAUUAAUCAGUCCUAAUAGUUCGAAUAGAGGGACUGGAUUGAUACCUCGAUGUCGACUCAUCUUAUCCUCGGGCUGCAGAAGGUCCGAAGGGUUCGGCUGUUCGCCGAGUAAAAAGGUACGUGAGUUGGGUUAAAUACGACGUGAGUCAGUAUGGACCCUAUCUACUAAGGGAAUAGGAAUUAAUUCUUAAUUAAAACCCAGUACGAGAGGAGCGGGGCUAGUGAACCAAUAGUGUACCUGUAGGCAGGGAAGCCACGUUCAUAAAGGAUAACUACUGAAAGCAUCUAAAGUAGGAAACCAAUAAGAAAAAAUACCUAAAAGAUACGUAGAAGAAAACUACGAGAUUA
rnacentral:rRNA from 1 species